CUCGCAUCACAUAAAAAAAGGCACAGAACUUACGAAGAUGAUUGAAAGGCAUUAAUAUGAGACCACCUACGAUUGAAUGAAGAAAUUCGGGUGGUUGCUCAAUGGUAUCAGAAUCAUCUUGGUGGUUUAGUUCGGGUUUUACUUACAACUAAUGAUAGAGAGAAAAAGAGGAAUGCUACUGAAGAGGGUGUUUCUGCGGAGACAAAUUGGGUCAUAUGUGAAAUCAUUGGAUCAACUUGAUUUGCUUGACCUGUUAACCAGAAGAUGUCAACGUGGAGGAAAUUGAAGACUUGAGACCAUCAAAGAGGAAAGUUAUUUAUACAGAGGUGGAAGGGAUA